rnacentral:rRNA from 1 species
UACGUAGGGUGCAAGCGUUAUCCGGAAUUAUUGGGCGUAAAGAGCUCGUAGGCGGUUUGUCGCGUCGGCUGUGAAAACCCGAGGCUCAACCUCGGGCCUGCAGUCGAUACGGGCAAACUAGAGUGUGGUAGGGGAGACUGGAAUUCCUGGUGUAGCGGUGAAAUGCGCAGAUAUCAGGAGGAACACCGGCGGCGAAGGCGGGUCUCUGGGCCAUAACUGACGCUGAGGAGCGAAAGCGUGGGGAGCGAACAGG